rnacentral:rRNA from 1 species
GCCUAUGACCAUAUCACCUGGAAUGUGCCUGAUCACAUCAGAUUUCAGAAGCCAAGCCGAUUUGAGCCUUGAUAAUGCUUGGCAGGUUGACCACCAUGCAUAAAACAGGGAUUAAAGGCU